rnacentral:snRNA from 1 species
GUGCUGGCUUUGGCAGCACAUAUAGUAAAUUUGGAACGAUAGUUAGAUUAGUUAGCAUGGCCUCAUCAUAGGAUGACACGUAUUCCAUUAAAAAAGGAAAAAAAAAUU